UGUUUUAUCCACAGGGUCAUCUCCGGCUCCUUGAACACGAGCAGUGUCUACCCAGGCCUGUCCCUCAGUGGGCGUGGCUACGGCAGUGGGAGUGGCUAUGGGAGCGGCAAUAAUGGUGGGAGUGGCUAUGGGGCCAACGAUGGGAGUGGCCUCAGCCGCCAGUGCACCCGUCAUCAGCUCCCAUUACCAGUAAUUGCCCUCGACUACAGAUGCCCCAAUCAUCUCGUACGUACGCGCAGUCCAGGCCUCGUUAGAGUGAAUUCACAGACAAAGCUGGUCCGUGCAAACCGUAUUAUUCCGAGUUCAAAACAUUUCUGCGCUUCCUGUCUUCUGAUCAGAUCGCUGAUACGGGGGCAGAACAGUGGAUCUGUGUUUCUGGUCUUUCAGGAGCUGUGCUGUGCCCGCCCCCUCCUGCCCGUCAUUCACCGCUGCGGCUUCCUCGCUGGGGGCGUCCCACAGGUGAGCCCUGCGGCGACGCACCCGAGUAAGAAGGAGAGGCGUGGCGAAGCGAGGAGAGAGGGCGGUCCAAGGCGCCGCGGGGUUAAUCUGUUCUGCUCUCUUCCUGCAUGUUUGCGUGUUCAUUUCUUUUGGCCCAGGUGCAAAACAAACUUCCACGGAGCACGAAAAGCUCUGCCCUGCCUGGCGAUGGCCCUCUUUACCAGCCCCUCCAGAUCUGCGGUCCCGAGCGAAGCAGACAGCUGGCGGCGCUGCCUCCUCUUCAACCCCUCCUUCCGGAGAAGGAGGCCAUGACCCCGGAGCAGAGCAGUCCGGUCCCAGUCGAGAAGCAGAACCUCGGCGGCCUUCGGCGGAGAAAGUGAACGGGUUUUAUCCGCACGCAUCCCAACCGUAAUAUCUUGAUUCUUUUAAAGCAACGUGAUAAUUCCUUCGAGCGUGUCACCGUGCGCUGUCGUAUGGCAGAUCCCAAGCCGACCGCCGCGAGCGUGCGGAGCGCUUCCAGCAGGGGAGGUCGACCCGGACCCGGCAAGGCCGGCUCGAGCGGGACGGACCCCAGAGGUCUCAGGGCCAGGUGGUCCCCAGCGCCCCUCCCAUGUCCGCGCUGCCACCCAUCGAGACGGACGAGUUCGGCAUGAAGCUGAAGAAGGAUGGGAGGUGACGUGAGCUGGACUGGCGGGAAAAAUGAAGGGUCCAGGAUGGAGGUAAGGAAGAGGUGAGGGGGGUGCUGGAGCAAACACGACCUUAAACCACAAACCGUCACCAUCGAGGUCCAUUCGGCUACAGUGGCUAAGGAACCCAGUCUAAACACAUGGGGACAGAGCAGGACGUUAUGGUCACGUUUAAAAACUCGCAGGAAAACGUCACGCAUGUCGACAUAGUUAUAAUGCAUGGAUAGGGAGCUACGCGGUUUGUUGUGUGAUAUUCAGAGUAGGAGGAGAAGGGGAUUGUGGGUAAACAAACUCUGACAUGGCUCACUUCUCUCGUCUUGCUACGCAGUUCAGUGGCUCGUCCUCACGGGGUCGGUCCGGAGGAGCUGGUCUGGUCCGAAGGAAUUCUAGUACCUCGGUCACAUGACGCGAGAGGAGCUUUUCCCAGCAGCCUCCAGCGAGGGAAGCUAAAUUUUGACCGAGUGGCCGGAGAUCAAAUAAACAGAGAUACUGAAGUACGAGCA
ensembl:lncRNA